AUCAACGCUGGCGGCGUGCCUAACACAUGCAAGUCGAACGCGAGAGGGGCUUCGGCCCUGAUUGAGUGGCAAACGGGUGAGUAACGCGUGGGUGACCUACCUUCGAGUGGGGGAUAACGUUCCGAAAGGGACGCUAAUACCGCAUAACAUCCUGUCUUUGGACAGAUGGAGAUCAAAGCCGGGAUCGUAAGACCUGGCGCUUGAGGAGGGGCCCGCGUCCGAUUAGCUAGUUGGUGGGAAUGGCUCACCAAGGCAACGAUCGGUAGCCGGCCUGAGAGGGCGGACGGCCACACUGGGACUGAGACACGGCCCAGGCUCCUACGGGAGGCAGCAGU
rnacentral:rRNA from 1 species